rnacentral:rRNA from 1 species
UACGGAGGGUGCAAGCGUUGUCCGGAAUCACUGGGCGUAAAGGGCGCGUAGGCGGCUCAUGAAGGCUGUGGUGAAAGUCCGGGGCUCAACCCCCAGCCUGCAGUGGGUACGGGCAGACUAGAGUGCGGUAGGGGAGAUUGGAAUUCCUGGUGUAGCGGUGGAAUGCGCAGAUAUCAGGAGGAACACCGAGUGGCGAAGGCAGAUCUCUGGGCCGUAACUGACGCUGAGGAGCGAAAGCAUGGGGAGCGAACAGG